UACGUAGGGGGCAAGCGUUGUCCGGAUUUAUUGGGCGUAAAGAGCUCGUAGGCGGUUUGGUAAGUCGGGUGUGAAAUCUCGGAGCUUAACUCCGAAACUGCAUUCGAUACUGCCGUGCUUGAGGACUGGAGAGGAGACUGGAAUUUACGGUGUAGCAGUGAAAUGCGUAGAGAUCGUAAGGAAGACCAGUGGCGAAGGCGGGUCUCUGGACAGUUCCUGACACUGAGGCACGAAGGCCAGGGGAGCAAACGGG
rnacentral:rRNA from 1 species